GCCGGGUGUGGUGGCGGGCGCCUGUAGUCCCAGCUACUUGGGAGGCUGAGGCAGGAGAAUCGUUUGAACCCGGGAGGCAGAGGUUGCAGUGAGCCAAGAUUGUGCCACUGCACUCCCACCUGGGUGAUGGAGCGAGACUCCGCCUCAA
rnacentral:SRP_RNA from 1 species